rnacentral:rRNA from 1 species
UACGUAGGUGGCAAGCGUUGUCCGGAUUUACUGGGCGUAAAGAGCGCGUAGGCGGUCGUUUAAGUUGAAUGUGAAAGCCCCCGGCUUAACUGGGGAGGGUCAUUCGAUACUGAUCGACUUGAAGGCAGGAGAGAGAAGCAGAAUUCCCGGUGUAGUGGUGAAAUGCGUAGAUAUCGGGAGGAACACCAGUGGCGAAGGCGACUACCUGGCCCAUUCUUGACGCUGAGGCGCGAAAGCUAGGGGAGCGAACGGG